rnacentral:rRNA from 1 species
CCUACGGGUGGGCAGCAGUGGGGAAUAUUGGACAAUGGGCGAAAGCCUGAUCCAGCCAUGCCGCGUGUGUGAAGAAGGCCUUCGGGUUGUAAAGCACUUUCAGUGGGGAAGAAAGCCUUGGGGCUAAUACCCUCGAGGAAGGACAUCACCCACAGAAGAAGCACCGGCUAACUCCGUGCCAGCAGCCGCGGUAAUACGGAGGGUGCGAGCGUUAAUCGGAAUUACUGGGCGUAAAGCGCGCGUAGGCGGUCUGAUAAGCCGGUUGUGAAAGCCCCGGGCUCAACCUGGGAACGGCAUCCGGAACUGUCAGGCUAGAGUGCAGGAGAGGAAGGUAGAAUUCCCGGUGUAGCGGUGAAAUGCGUAGAGAUCGGGAGGAAUACCAGUGGCGAAGGCGGCCUUCUGGACUGACACUGACGCUGAGGUGCGAAAGCGUGGGUAGCAAACAGGAUUAGAUACCCUUGUAGUC